GAAAUGCGAUAAGUAGUGUGAAUUGCAGAAUUCAGUGAAUCAUCGAAUCUUUGAACGCACAUUGCGCCCUUUGGUAUUCCUUAGGGCAUGCCUGUUCGAGCGUCAUUUAAACCUUCAAGCUCAGCUUGGUGAUGGGUGACUGUCCUCCCCUCGCGGGGGGACUCACCUCAAAAACAUUGGCGGCCGGUACAUUGGCUUCGAGCGCAGCAGAAACGCGGUCUCGAGUCCGGUGGAUCGGCUCCCAUAAGCCUUCUUUUUUAUUUUGACCUCGGAUCAGGUAGGGAUACCCGCUGAACUUAAGC
rnacentral:misc_RNA from 1 species